rnacentral:rRNA from 1 species
CCUACGGGUGGCAGCAGUGGGGAAUAUUGCACAAUGGGGGAAACCCUGAUGCAGCGACGCCGCGUGAGUGAAGAAGUAUUUCGGUAUGUAAAGCUCUGUCAGCAGGGAAGAAAAUGACGGUACCUGACCAAGAAGCCCCGGCUAACUACGUGCCAGCAGCCGCGGUAAUACGGAGGGGGCAAGCGUUAGCCGGAUUUACUGGGUGUAAAGGGAGUGUAGACGGCUGGGCAAGUCUGGGGUGAAAGGCGGGGGCUCAACCCCCGGACUGCUGUGGAAACUGCCAGGCUGGAGUGCAGUAGAGGUAAGUGGAAUUCCUAGUGUAGCGGUGAAAUGCGUAGAUAUUAGGAGGAACACCAGUGGCGAAGGCAGCUUACUGGACUGUAACUGACGUUGAGGCUCGAAAGCGUGGGGAUCAAACAGGAUUAGAUACCCCUGUAGUC